GCAAGCCGGCGGGCGGGCAUCGGGCCUAGCCGGCGACGGCUAGGCCUGAGGAAACUCCACCGAGAAGCGCGGGCCGCGGCGUCGCGAGACGCAGGGGGAGACCCCUGGCUCCGGCACAGAAACGAAACCCCCCUCGGCGGAUGGAUAGGAGGCGGUGAACCCUCCCGGCAACGGGAGGGGAGCUAACCCGCCGAUUACGCCGAGGGAAAGGAUGAAACGGCCGUCCCGCGGUUUAGGGCCAAAUAGGGACCUAUGAGGUCCGCGCCCGAGGUCCGGGUGGGCCCUUAGUCUAAUCCCGCCUAGAACAGAAGGUGGGUUACGGCCGGCUUGC
rnacentral:RNase_P_RNA from 1 species